UCCGAAUCCAAUAAAGAUUCC
rnacentral:piRNA from 1 species